UAUUUCAGCAUACUUGUUUAAGACAUCUGCAUUCCAGGAUUCUAAAACAACUGACCUUUGCUGUCACCUCUCACGAAGUGGCUCAAUUUAUUUUACAGAAACACCACCACCAAGAGCCCUAGCAUGACUAGUUAUUAAAACCUUCUUCAUCUCACUCAGAAGAUUUAUGAUUGUCUCUAAGUUGUUCAACAACUAUUAUAUCCAUUCAUCUUGAACAAAAGGAGGACCGACAAUGUUGAACUUUACCUGAGAUCUGUUUCUGGGAAACAGUGAGGUUUAAGAAAUAUAUGCCCAUCAUUGUACUCUAAGAAAAGACUUCAAUUAAAUAUCCUUCUCCAUAAAACUGAGAUGACUCCCUGUACACUUUUUUCUUAUAAGCCCAAUAAGACUCAUGUGUAUAUGUGUCUGUGGUCAAUUUAUAUUUGACAAAGAUGGUAAGAUCACUCAAUGGGAAAGAAUGAUCUUCCCAAUUAAAAGGCUUCAGGACAACUGCAUAGCCCUGGGCAAAAUAUGAAGUUGAAAUUUUACUUCAUAAUAUACAGAAAAUUAACUCAAAAUGAAUCAGAUACCUAAGUAUAAGAGCUAAAACCACAAAUACUGUAAAUUUUUACAACUUCAGAUGUUGCAAUCUAUUUUGAGAGAUGACACAAAAAUGCAAGGUGCGAAAGGAAAAAAAAAUAGCUAAAUUGAAGCUUCAUCAGAUUAAAAAAAAUUGUGCUUCAAAGCAUACUAUCAAAAUGAGAGCUUUCUUGAAACCCAGUGAUAGAGGACUUGCCUAGCAUGUGUGGAUAUGAACCCCAGAAAAAAAAACGGAGAAAGAAAGAAACCAAAGAAAAAGGAAGAAGGAAAAGUGAAAAGCUAAUCAAUAGAUGAGAGGGGUGCUUGUAAAUUGUAUAUCUGGUAAAUAAUUUAUAUUUAGAAUAUAUUAAAAAAUCUUCCAGUGCAAUAAUAAAAAGAUAAAUAACCCAAAUAAAAAUCACAAAUCAUCUAAAUAAACAUUUGUAGAAGGGAGAUGAAG
rnacentral:lncRNA from 1 species